GAUGAACGCUGGCGGCGUGCUUAACACAUGCAAGUCGAACGAAGCAUUUAGAACAGAUUACUUCGGUUUGAAGUUCUUUAUGACUGAGUGGCGGACGGGUGAGUAACGCGUGGGUAACCUGCCUUGUACUGGGGGAUAGCAGCUGGAAACGGCUGGUAAUACCGCAUAAGCGCACAAUGUUGCAUGACAUGGUGUGAAAAACUCCGGUGGUAUAAGAUGGACCCGCGUCUGAUUAGCUAGUUGGUGAGAUAACAGCCCACCAAGGCGACGAUCAGUAGCCGACCUGAGAGGGUGACCGGCCACAUUGGGACUGAGACACGGCCCAGACUCCUACGGGAGGCAGCAGUGGGGAAUAUUGCACAAUGGAGGAAACUCUGAUGCAGCGACGCCGCGUGAGUGAAGAAGUAAUUCGUUAUGUAAAGCUCUAUCAGCAGGGAAGAUAGUGACGGUACCUGACCAAGAAGCUCCGGCUAAAUACGUG
rnacentral:rRNA from 1 species